CACGUAGGGGGCAAGCGUUGUCCGGAUUUAUUGGGCGUAAAGAGCUCGUAGGUGGUUCGGUAAGUCGGGUGUGAAAACUCUGGGCUCAACUCAGAGACGCCACCCGAUACUGCUGUGACUUGAGUCUGGUAGGGGAGCACGGAAUUCCUGGUAUAGCGGUGAAAUGCGCAGAUAUCAGGAGGAACACCGGUGGCGAAGGCGGUGCUCUGGGCCAGUACUGACGCUGAGGAGCGAAAGCGUGGGGAGCAAACAGG
rnacentral:rRNA from 1 species